rnacentral:rRNA from 1 species
UACGUAGGGUGCAAGCGUUAAUCGGAAUUACUGGGCGUAAAGCGUGCGCAGGCGGUUGUGCAAGACAGAUGUGAAAUCCCCGGGCUCCAACCUGGGAAUUGCAUUUGUGACUGCACGGCUAGAGUGUGUCAGAGGGGGGGUAGAAUUCCACGUGUAGCAGUGAAAUGCGUAGAGAUGCGGAGGAACACCGAUGGCGAAGGCAGCCCCCUGGGUCGACACUGACGCUCAGGCACGAAAGCGUGGGGAGCAAACAGG